rnacentral:tRNA from 1 species
GGGCGAGUGGCGGAAUGGCAGACGCGCCGGCCUUAGGAGCCGGUGCCGCGUAAGCGGCGUGGAGGUUCGACCCCUCUCUCGCCUACCA